GAUGUCCAUGGUUUAGGAUGAUUGGUCGCAGCUCAUCUUCUAUCAUGAGUUUCUUAUUUGCAGGUGAUGAUCUUGCUGCAACUUGCUUGCUGCCUUGGUUUACAGUGAGCUAGCUGCUGCAGCCCUUUUGUUUCUUUAGAGGACACAGAUGACAGAAACGCCACCAUGGAAUCAGGCAACCAAUAACCGGAGCACAACUGUCAACUCAUUUUAUU